UGCCAGCAGCCGCGGUAAUACGAAGGGUGCUAGCGUUGUUCGGAAUUACUGGGCGUAAAGCGCACGUAGGCGGACUAUUAAGUCAGGGGUGAAAUCCCGGGGCUCAACCCCGGAACUGCCUUUGAUACUGGUAGUCUAGAGUUCGAGAGAGGUGAGUGGAAUUCCGAGUGUAGAGGUGAAAUUCGUAGAUAUUGGGAAGAACACCAGUGGCGAAGGCGGCUAACUGGCUCGGUACUGACGCUGAGAUGCGAAAGCGUGGGGAGCAAACAGGAUUAGAUA
rnacentral:rRNA from 1 species